GAUGAAGAACGUAGCUAAAUGCGAUAAGUAAUGUGAAUUGCAGAAUUCAGUGAAUCAUCGAAUCUUUGAACGCACAUUGCGCCCGCCAGUAUUCUGGCGGGCAUGCCUGUUCGAGCGUCAUUUCAACCAUCAAGCCCCCGGCUUGUGUUGGGGACCUGCGGCUGCCGCAGGCCCUGAAAAGCAGUGGCGGGCUCGCUGUCACACCGAGCGUAGUAGCAUACAUCUCGCUCUGGGCGUGCUGCGGGUUCCGGCCGUUAAACCACCUUCAUAACCCAAGGUUGACCUCGGAUCAGGUAGGAAGACCCGCUGAACUUAAGCAUAUCAAUAAGCGGAGGA
rnacentral:misc_RNA from 1 species